rnacentral:tRNA from 1 species
GCUUGUAGCGUGGUGGUUAGCGCGCUCUGCUCUGGUGCAAACGGUCUUGGGUUCGAACCCGACCAUUCCC